rnacentral:rRNA from 1 species
ACCUUUGCACGGUCAGGAUACAGUGCAAAGGUAGCAUAAUAAUUUGCCUCUUAAUUAGAGGCUGGAAUGAAGGAACAUACGAGAGUAAAGCUGUUUCAUUUUUAUUAACCGAAAAUUAACCUUCAGAUGAAGAGGUCUGAAUAGAAAAGAAAGACAAAAAGACCCUAUUGAGCUUUACUUUACCAAGAUUUACCAAAAGAGAAUCUAUAACCAAAAAUCUUGAAAGAGUUUUGUUGGGGCGACAGAAGAAGACCUAAAUCUUCUUUAUCUCCAAAAGGUCAUCACCCUUAUAAAGAUCCGGUCUCCCGAUUAAAAGAUCUAGCUACCAUAGGGAUAACAGGCUAAUUCUCUCUAAGAGCCCAUAUUGACGAGAGAGAUUGGCACCUCGAUGUUGGC